rnacentral:lncRNA from 1 species
CUGGUUGGUGGUGACUUGUCCGUGCUCUCCCUCCCUCUGCCUCGCCCCCUCCGCCUCGCCGCUGUUUCUCCCGCCGAAGGCCUGCAGCAUCUCUCGCCCCCCUCAUCCACCCCGGCCCCAUUAUUUCGCCACCCGUCGAUUUUGUUCGUCUGAUUUGGUAUGUUCCCUCUCUUUUGUUUGUUUCUCAGAUCUGCAUGUCAGUGCCUGUGGACUGUGGGUUUCUAUCUGUUGCUUGUGUUAAUCUCCUGCAGCCUCUGGUGUAGAUGUGUGAGGUUGCGCCUGUUUCUCCGAUUGAUACUCAUCAGCCAUGCGAAUUUGAUUAGUGUUUCUGGCUACUUGUUAGUUUGAUUGAUCUGUAUGUGUGACUCACCCGCGUCAGCGGACAGCGAGUCGCCUGAACCUGAUGAUCCAGGCGAUGGCGCAGGCAGCCAGCAUGGUGGCAGAGGGUGAAGCCUCGAGUGGGUGUGGUGGGCUGACUAGUGUGCCCACGUGACAGUGUGUGUGUGUGUGUGUGCUCUGUAUAUUAGUUGGACAUGCAUGAGUUAAGUCUGAAGUCUGAACCUUCUCUGUUCUCUGAACCUCUCCCAACUUUCCUCUCCAUCCUCUGUUUGAUUGAUCUGUACGCGGUAUUGUGCAAUUUGAACAUAGUGAAUCGUGUUUAGUCCCCUGCUGUCCAGUGUUGUUAGUUAGUAUGUCUAUGUGUUAAUUUUCACCUGGGCCGUUUUUGUUGUCACUGUGUGGAUGCAUGGUUGGUCCCCUCGCCUUGGGAUUGUCUCUGUAAUUCUCAAUGGAUUUACUGUGUAAUUCCUAUUGGAUUUGCAAUGUAAUUCCUGUUUGGUUUUACAGUGUAAAUCCACAGUGUAAUUCCUAGUGGAUUUACACUGUACUUCUCAUUGGCUUUACACUGUAAUUUUCAUUGGAUUUGCACUGUAACUGUCAUUAGAUCUGCAGUUGGUUUAGAAUGUAAUUCCUAUUGGUUUUCAGUGUAAUUCCUACUGGGUUUAGAGUGUAAUCCUAUUGGUUUUUCAGUGUAAUUUUUAUUUGGUUUCGCAGUGUAACUCCUUUCUGUUUUUACAGUGUAAUUUCUAGUGGAUUUCCAAUGUAAUUCCCAUUCUAGCCUGUAAGUGUUGAUGCUAGUUUGCCGUUGGAUUUCACAUUCUUGAGUCUGUAGAUUGAUGUAGGAUGGUUCUGCUGUAGCUUUGAUUUUUGGAAUUGCUAAUUUUCAUCCGGAUGAAAACUUUUCGCUCGUCCGUUGUGUGAGCCGUCCGAUCUCUGUCUGUAGCUUUCACCUGUAUUUUCUUAGUGGUUUUACUAUAAUUCUUAGUCGGUUUUUACAUUGUAAUCUUUAGUGGAAGUUCAAUGUAAUUCUCAGGGGAUCUUUUCACUGUAAUUCUCAGUGGGUUUACACUGUAAUACAACUGAUAUGUUGUAAUUCUAAUUGUUUUUACAGUGUAAAUCCAAUUACAGCGAUAUUAUCAGUGGGUUUACAGUGUAAUUCCUCAGUGGAUUUACACUGUAAUUCUUCGUGCUAUUGUAAUGUAAUUCUUUAGUUUUUGAAAUGUAUCUUAGUGAAUUUUACAGUGCAAUUCUCAAUGGAUCUACACUGUAAUAUCUUAGUGGAUUUUACAGUGUAACACUCACUAGAUUUUCACUGUAAUUAUCUUAUUUUGCAUUUUGAUUGUGUAACUCUCAAUGGAUCUACACUGUAAUUCUUUAUUGGAUUUUUACUAUGUAAGUCUCAGUGGAUUCACACCGUAAUUCUUGGUGGUUUUACUGUGUAAUAUCUUGGUGGAUUUUACAGUGUAACUCUCAUGGGAUUGUCACUGUAAUUAUCUUAUUUGCAUUUUUACUGUGUAACUCUCAAUGUAUCUACACUGUAGUUAUUUAUUGUAUUUUUACUAUGUAAGUCUCAGUAGAUUCACACCGUAAUUCUUGGUGGUUUUACCGUGUAAAUCUUAGUGCCAUGCACUGUAUUCAUCGCUUUGCUCUAGUGCAUUUUAGUGUCAUUUAUUUCAGUGUAAGAAGCACUUUAAUUCUACUGAUAUCUCUUUAGCUACAAUGCUCUUAUUUUCUGUAAUUUACAGUAAAUUGGUUUGGUAUGCUUCCCUAAUUUUUUUAGUUCCAACACUGAUUCAUAAUUUCAUCAGGCUUUGGGAAUGUGUAUAUCACUCCUAUGAUGCAUAAAAGGAUUAAUUUUCGAAGAGUUUGAUGUGUUGCACCCAGCUGUUCCUAAGCAAGAUAAUCGGUAUCUUUUUUUUGCCCUUUUCAUGUUUUUUUUUUAAUUUUAUAUAGUUUCUAUGAAAGCUUCUUUUCUUAUUUGUGUUCUUUGUAACUUUUCAGCCAUGACUGUGGUGUCUUUACAUUUAAGUAUAUGGAUAUCUUCACACCAAGAACUCAGAUGUCAAUCCUUUUCUCUAGUGUAGACAUUCCAAAUCUUAGGAUCAAAUAUGUGAAUGACAUGCAUUUUCAGCCCCUUGAACAGUUCUGACAAAUCUUUUGUCACUGAUUUCUUUGGUGAUGUAUGUUCUUAUUUUCCUUGUCAUCUGUUUCAUUUUCUUCUUCUUUUUCGCUUUUAUUUUCUUUUACUAAUCCGGGUCUCUCUGAAUUUUUUUGUGUAGGGAGGCAAUGCCAAGUGAGGUUCAGCAUGUGCGCAGUCCUAGCUCAAAUGGUGACUGAGUUUUAUUUUUCAGUAGCAUGUAAUCUAAACAAAGUAGCAUGCAAUCUGAGCAUAGUAGUAUUUGUUUAGUAGUGGUUCUAUGUUUCAUUUUGAUUGUAAGGUUGUUGGAUACUGUCAUGUCUUUAUGCCUGUGACUCGGCAGUACGUAUUUGAGCACGUUAAUACUACAGUGCUUAAAAAAAUUGAUUCUAUAUCAGGGGUCCCUUUCUUAAUGAUCAUUGUUCCUUGUAUCUCAUUU